rnacentral:rRNA from 1 species
GCUUUUAGCGUGGCGGAUAGGUGAGUAAUAUACAAGAAUCUACCUCUAAGUUUGGAAUAAUCACAUUUUUUUAAUAAUGUUCUGCAGUGAUAAUUUCAACAAAGGCUAAAUGCCGCUUUUAGAUGAGCUUGUACAGUAUUAGGUUGUUGGUAGGGUAAAAGCCUACCAAGCCUAUGAUUCUUAGCUGGUCUGAGAGGACGGUCAGCCACACUGGGACUGAGAUAAGGCCCAGGCUUAUAGCCAGCAGUGAGGAAUUUUGGACAAUGCGCGAAAGCGUGAUCCAGUAAUACUGCGUGAAUGAGGAAAGCAAAAAAGGUUUUUGAGCUUUUAGUUUAAAAGCCGGCUGUAAAAUUAUUUCGCUGAUGAAGAUGGUGACUUUAUUCAGAGAAGAAGCCCCGGCUAACUUCGUGCCAGCAGCCGCGGUAAUACGAGGGGGGCGAGCGUUAUCCGGAAUGAUUGGGCGUAAAGUGUUCGUAGGCGGUAUUUGUUGUUAUACAUAAAAUUCUGGGUUUGUUGCUUA